GGUUCCUACGGGACGCAGCAGUGGGGAAUAUUGGGCAAUGGGCGCAAGCCUGGCCCAGCAACGCCGCGUGAAGGAAGAAGGCUUUCGGGUUGUAAACUUCUUUUGACAGGGAAGAGCAGAAGACGGUACCUGUCGAAUAAGCCACGGCCAACUACGUGCCAGCAGCCGCGGUAAUACGUAGGUGGCAAGCGUUGUCCGGCUUUACUGGGUGUCAAGGGCGUGUAGCCGGGCUGACAAGUCAGAUGUGAAAUCCGGGGGCUCAACCCCCGAACUGCAUUUGAAACUGUUGGUCUUGAGUAUCGGAG
rnacentral:rRNA from 1 species